rnacentral:rRNA from 1 species
UGGGGAAUUUUGCACAAUGGGCGCAAGCCUGAUGCAGCAACGCCGCGUGAGGGACGACGGCCUUCGGGUUGUAAACCUCUUUUGGCAGGGAAGAAGCGAAAGUGACGGUACCUGCAGAAAAAGCACCGGCUAACUACGUGCCAGCAGCCGCGGUGAUACGUAGGGUGCAAGCGUUGUCCGGAAUUAUUGGGCGUAAAGAGCUCGUAGGCGGUUUGUCGCGUCUGCUGUGAAAACCCGAGGCUCAACCUCGGGCCUGCAGUGGGUACGGGCAACCUAGAGUGCGGUAGGGGAGAUUGGAAUUCCUGGUGUAACGGUGGAAUGCGCAGAUAUCAGGAGGAACACCGAUGGCGAAGGCAGAUCUCUGGGCCGUAACUGACGCUGAGGAGCGAAAGCAUGGGGGGCGAACA